rnacentral:rRNA from 1 species
AUUGAACGCUAGCGGGAUGCUUUACACAUGCAAGUCGAACGAGUGGCGGACGGGUGAGUAAUAUAUCGGAACGUGCCCACUAGCGGGGGAUAACUACUCGACAGAGUGGCUAAUACCGCAUACGAUUGGAGCGGCCGAUAUCGGAUUAGCUAGUUGGGGGGGUAAAGGCUUACCAAGGCAACGCUCCGUAGCUGGUUUGAGAGGACGACCAGCCACACUGGGACUGAGACACGGCCCAGACUCCUACGGGAGGCAGCAGUGGGGAAUUUUGGACACUGGGGGAAACCCUGGUGCAGCCAUCCUGCGUGGAUGAGAAGGCCUUCGGGUGGUAAAGUACUUUUGGCAGAGAGGCGGUAUCGUCAGAAUAAGCACCGGCUAACUCCGUGCCAGCAGCCGCGGUAAUUC